CUUUACUACAACUUUGCAGUGGUAUUAGAGAUAGCAUGUGUAGCAUAGGUGGGACUCUUUGAAGCUUGGGCGCUAGCCUGAGUGGAGAGGUCAGUGAAAUACCACCCUUGUAAUCUUUGAUAUCUAACUGAGCCCGGUGAAUCACGGGUCAGGACCCUGCAUGGCGGGUAGUUUGACUGGGGCGGUCGCCUCCCAAAGCAUAACGGAGGCGCGCGAUGGUUAGCUCAAUCUGGUCGGAAAUCAGAUGCUGAGUGCAAUGGCACAAGCUAGCCUGACUGCAAGACGUACAUGUCAAGCAGAGACGAAAGUCGGUCAUAGUGAUCCGGUGGUUCUUCGUGGAAGGGCCAUCGCUCAACGGAUAAAAGGUA
rnacentral:rRNA from 1 species